UGGGGAAUUUUGGACAAUGGGCGCAAGCCUGAUCCAGCCAUGCCGCGUGCGGGAAGAAGGCCUUCGGGUUGUAAACCGCUUUUGUCAGGGAAGAAAUCUUCUGAGUUAAUACCUCGGGAGGAUGACGGUACCUGAAGAAUAAGCACCGGCUAACUACGUGCCAGCAGCCGCGGUAAUACGUAGGGUGCAAGCGUUAAUCGGAAUUACUGGGCGUAAAGCGUGCGCAGGCGGUUUUGUAAGACAGAGGUGAAAUCCCCGGGCUCAACCUGGGAACUGCCUUUGUGACUGCAAGGCUUGAGUGCGGCAGAGGGGGAUGGAAUUCCGCGUGUAGCAGUGAAAUGCGUAGAUAUGCGGAGGAACACCGAUGGCGAAGGCAAUCCCCUGGGCCUGCACUGACGCUCAUGCACGAAUGCAUGGGGAGCAAAACAGGAUUAGAUACCCUGGUAGUCCAACGCCCUAAAACGAUGUCAACUGGUUGUU
rnacentral:rRNA from 1 species